ensembl:lncRNA
AUUUGGUGCCCAUGGUCCUUCAAGGGACACAUCCCUGCACAAAGACAAAGCCAGCCCUGCCAUUAGGUACAUCGAGGCAACAGAUUUGGGGGGGAAAUCACAGAGGCCAGCAAAUAAUUAGUCCUUGAUUUAUUGCCGCUGUAUUUUGACUGCCAAGAGGGAGGCUCUUUCUGAAGCAAAGCGGACCGGUUGUGACAGUCACCAGAGUGAGGGGCAGGGCCCCAUCUUUUGCCCUCCCUCAGCUGUUCCAGUGCCUCAGCGGAGCCUUGGGGAGAGCGUUUCUCAGGGGUAGGAAGUCUGGAGACAGUCCUCCUGUUGACCCCAUUCGCCAAGGUAACGGGCUGGUGGUGGUGGUGGUGAGAGGAGAGAGUUUCGGGCACGCAUGGCUUGAAUUCCCUGAAGCAGGGGAACCCUUCCCGGCAGUGUUAUGCAAAUAAUGUCCUGUCGCCGGCCAGCCGGCCGGCCAUUCGACGGCUGCGGAUUCUACCGCCAACUGGCAAGGGGAGGGCGAGCACAGAGCCCGGGGGAAACCUGCUCGAAGGGGAGGCGGCGCAGCAGCCGGGCAAAAGUGGCCAAGGAUUCACGCUCACCAUGGAAACGGCGGCGGGUGGCUGGCGCCUCAGGGAAGGGGGACGGGCAAAGGAGGAGGAGGAGGAGGGCCCGGCGGCGCCUUGCCCCUCAAAGGCAGCUCCCGGAGAUGGAGAACCUGCAGAAGGAUCGCCAGGCGCCGGCAGCCCGCCCGAGCCAGUCCGCUUCCCAGCGUUCGCAGCAUCUGCCCAGACCGAGCCAGCCCGUCGCUCCCAUGGAGAACAUCAAAGAAAUGCAGCACUCCAAAGAGAGGACAGAAAUGGUUCUAACAGCAAGUCAUCAACAUACUGAUCAUGUUUUUAUGCAAUAUUGUCCCCUUAAAGCUAGGGUUCUUGGCAGAUUUUGCAUUUUGCCAGCCCUUAGCUAAAGAAUACAACCAUCUCACCCUUAUUUCUUCAGCCAAAUGCAUGUCAGUGAAGGCAGUGGAAGGUCUGAAAUGCUUCUGUCUUGCAGACUAAAGAUCAGUUUCAUGAUCACGUCUGCUCUUAGCAACUUGCAUUCCCCUGAAACUGGAUGGGUAUAUUAUUACCAGUAUAUGUAUAUGUCUACUUUCAUGCUGUUGAGGUCAACUGAGCUCAAUGUGUAACUUAGUUAUGUUUCCUCUUUCUUCCCUGACUCUCUGCAAUAGAGAUGGGGACAUUUUUUUUAAAAAAGGGGCAAUUAAUUUUGAUCCAUUAUUUGUCAAGUUUAACGGAUCAACGAAUACGGAUAUACGAAUAUUCUUUGAUGAAUUGAUGGCUCGAUCUGUUGGUUUAACUUCACUUUAAACUGCUUUAAAACUGGCCCCUAAGCACCCAGAGACACCAAAUAUGCAGGGAAGCUUCCUCAUAUGCUUUCCUACAACUUCUGAAAGUUUGGUGAACAUUGGAUCAUGAACCCCUGAGUUAAUAUAGUCACAAAGAGGACCCAUCAGGAAAGCUCCUCCCAGGUGCUUAGAGACUCCAGAAUCACAACAGAGCUUCCAAUGUCUUUCCCCAACACGCCUGCCAACUUUGGUGAAGAUUGGAUAGUGGACAUCCGAGUUACUCACCCACAAAUUGGGUCCCCCCCAGGAUAGUUUACCACACAGCACAGAAG